rnacentral:rRNA from 1 species
UACGAAGGGGGCUAGCGUUGCUCGGAAUCACUGGGCGUAAAGGGUGCGUAGGCGGGUCUUUAAGUCAGGGGUGAAAUCCUGGAGCUCAACUCCAGAACUGCCUUUGAUACUGGAGAGCUUGAGUCCGGGAGAGGUGAGUGGAACUGCGAGUGUAGAGGUGAAAUUCGUAGAUAUUCGCAAGAACACCUGUGGUGUAGACAGCUUACUGGACCACUUCUGACGCUGAGACACGAAAGCGUGGGUAGCAAACAGG